rnacentral:lncRNA from 1 species
AGGAACAGUGGAGUGACCCAGCGUCCCGGGUGCCUUGACUGACUGGAUUUCGUUUGGGGCUUUUGUGAGUAAUUAUUGUUUCUCAGUGAAUGCUUUGGUUGGGUCAGUUUGGUUUGUGGCUUGCCUUUGUUGUUUGGUCGAUUUAUUUUAACUGCUAGCAAAAGGAGCCCUUGGCUUGGAGGCAGGGGUCCUCGCGCUGCCCAGGCACAGCGCUGGUGGGGAACGCGUGGCUGCGGCUGUUGGACUGUCACCGCUCCGGACGCUUGGAGGUCUUCGCUGCUAGAGAGUCUGAUUUCGAUCUCUCUGGCUGAGUAGGUCCACCUGAGGGUCACUCUCGCAGUCCCGCCGGAGUCAGCCAGCCUCAGUGGUGCUCCCGACCGCCCCACCCGGCCAUGCCCUCCCACAGGGCUGGCUAGGCUCCCAGGCAGCGCCCAGCUCCUCCCCGCCAGCCAAAGACGCGUCCAGCCGGGCGGGCACCAAGAGCACCGAAAGCAUUGCACAUGCCCGCCCCCCUCCCCCCAAUAGUUCCUGCCCCAAGACCCGUGCUGGCGACCCCUCUGCGGAGGGAGAUGGCCCUGAGGGGACGCUCAGUGAUGCCCGGUCUCUGGGCCACCACGCAAAGCCGAGGCUUGAGCGCAGCCGGCACCUGCUCUGUGCGCCAGGCGCUGCCAUACCCACUGCUCUCACCACCCCUGGGCUGGAGACAAAGCGCAUGAGCCACGCGCGCGGCAGCGCGAGCAUCAUUAAUCAGAGGAAACUGGCGCGCUGCCCCGGCCCCGCCACCCUGCCUCUCCCUCCCAGCCACCAGGCGCGCCCCGGAGCCCAGCCCUUACCUACCUCGCUGGGGUACCACCUCGAGUCCUAGGGAUGUUUGGCCAGAGCUUCUGGGUUUCUGGUACUCCGUGCUUACUCUCCGAGGCCAAGUGCAGAAAACAGCCCGGGGCAGCAACACCUCACCCCACCCAAGAAAUGAUUCUCAGCUUUGAGCUCUCAGAUGCCCAGGCUUUAGAGCUGAGAGAGACUACAAGUCCUGCUGCUCAGCGAGACUGGUCCUCUGGAUGCAAGACCGCCCAGAUCAGUGCUGCCUGCCCCACUGGGCGCUGAUGCGCUGACUGAGAGAAACCUUGCACUGCAGAGCCCAGAGGGGUAGGGCUGGGGCAGGGAGCAGAGUUGACACCUGAAGAAAUAAAAGCUCUGAUUUACCCAUUUG